AAAAAAAAGAAAAAAGAUAGGAUACUCGCUUUACUUGCGCAAUUUAGUAAACCGUUGAUAUUUUUUAAUGACACGUCCCUAAAUCAAGCUCAAUCAAAUCUAAUAUUUUUGUUUACUGGGUGGCCGUGGAGACAAAAAGGGACUGGGGAGAUUUGAAAUCAAAGGAACACCCAAAAGGAAGACCAGAAAACAGUGUUGGGUUCUCUGUCCUCUGAGGGAGCGCACAUAGCGCUUUGUUUCGAAGCCACGGACAAAGGGCACCGCUCAAAACAAUUCAAACUAUAUUAAAACCGUCAAGAGGCUACGAAUAUUCAAGAGGGAGAUCCUCCAGGCAAUCCAAAUCCUAUGCGGCCUGAGAAGUUUACAGCUGGCGAAACUUUAUAUGGUUGAGAAAGACAAGCUGUGGAAAUCCUUAAAAAUCCAAGAAAAAACAGAUUGUUCGUAAAAUAAGAAGGGAAAAAGCAUUGUUUCAUGCUGAUUCUGUUCUAAUGCGUCACAUUGCAUGUCUGAAGUUUACGGCUAAAUCCCUUCGUUCGUCAUUGAAAACUUCAAGCUGUGGCUACACGAUUACGGAUCCA